UACGAAGGGAGCUAGCGUUGUUCGGAAUCACUGGGCGUAAAGCGCACGUAGGCGGCUUAGCAAGUCGGAUGUGAAAUCCCUCGGCUUAACCAAGGAAGUGCAUCCGAAACUGCUGAGCUUGAGUACGAAAGAGGAUCGCGGAAUUCCCGGUGUAGAGGUGAAAUUCGUAGAUAUCGGGAGGAACACCUAUGGCGAAGGCAGCUCGCUGGGACGUUACUGACGCUGAGACGCGAAAGCGUGGGUAGCAAACAGG
rnacentral:rRNA from 1 species